AGGUGGCCAUGAUGAUUUCUAAUCAGCUUUUAUGCCAGUUCUGCUUCUGAAAUAUAAUGAUCGAUAGAGCUGUUAUAUUCUCUGAGCCUCUU